GCAAGUAUUUUUAUCCCAGGCCUCGCUCAGAAUAGCAACACCUAUUUACUUGGAGGGAGGAGACUGCAGGGCCAGUUUCAGUGCGGGUGACUGACUAUUCCGGACCGGGUGGACGAGCACACUUAGAAGCCUCCUCCGCAUCGCAGGGCCAGGCGCGCCGGGGCCCUGCACCCGGGGCCCGCUGGAACCUGCCGCUGACCCAGCCUCUGCUCCACCCGCAGGGCAGACGAGCAGUGCUGGGGACAGAACGGAGGGCCUCGGGCCUGCUGGGCAAGCGCUCUAGCCCCGAAGCCCCGCCCAGCCCCGCCUGGGUCCCUCACCUUUCUUUCCACCGCCAGCAUUUGGCUGUGGGUCCUUCACCGGUUUUGAGGAGCGCACACCGCGGCCCUGAAGAAGCAUCCGCAGUCAUGGCCCAGUACUACAGAACGAACCCAGUGGUGCUUUACCCUUGCGUUUCAUCCCCGACCUUCCCAGAUUCCAUUUUUGAGACAGGGUCUUGCUAAACUUCCCAAGAUGGCCUGAAAUUUGUGAUCCUCCUGCCUCAGCUUCAGAGUAGCUGGAAUUACAGGGCUGGGAUUGAACCCACGGCCUUGCUCAUGCUAAGCACAUGCUCCAUCCUUGAGCCACAACCCAGACCUACCUAACUUCUUCAAAGUGGGAAAUCACACUCAACAGAGAAAGCAACGUUAGCUUGUAUUCCUGGCAGGGUUUGGAAUACUUUAUUUCCUAAGCUAUAUGCCAGGAUGUUUCCUCAUUUGAUUUUUCCAGAAUGGUAAUGGAAAGAGAAAAAAAAAAAAAAACAGGAAAAAGUUGCCACCCGAAGUUAAAACAUUCCCUUCCAUAUGGAACAAUGCAGCUGCGAGCCAGCAGGGACGAACCUUGGGCAAAGGAUGAAGCAGGCCAGGGAGCAGCUACUCGCCAUGUGCUCUCAGGCAAGUCACCUACCCCAGGGGUCUCAGCGUCCUUAUCUAUACAAUGAGCAGUGUCUACUCCAUGGGGCUGGAUGUCUCACUCAUCAGCCAGUCCUUAAAAAACCUGGCACAAAGUAUCCUUCAAUGAACCUAGGCUGAAUGGAUGAAUGCAUUAAUGAUCUUAAAGAUGAAGUGAUAGUGAAGCCCUGAGCAAUUUAGCAAAACCCUGUCUCAAAGUAAAAAGUAAUGGUGCACGCCUAUCAUCCCAGCAGCUUGGGAGGCUGAGGCAGGAGG